GACGAACCGUGCGAACGUUAUUCGGAAUUACUGGGCUUAAAGCGCGUGUAGGCGGGUCGGCACGUCGGUCGCUGAAAUCCCCCGGCUCAACCGGGGAACCGGCGCCGAUACGGCCGGCCUGGAGGGGCGUAGGGGGAUCGGGAACUUCCGGUGGAGCGGUGAAAUGCGUUGAGAUCGGAAGGAACGCCCGUGGCGAAAGCGGUUCUCUGGGCCUUACCUGACGCUGAGGAGCGAAAGCGUGGGGAGCGAACAGG
rnacentral:rRNA from 1 species